ACUCCUACGGGAGGCAGCAGUGGGAAUAUUGCACAAUGGGCGCAAGCCUGAUGCAGCCAUGCCGCGUGAGUGAUGAAGGCCCUAGGGUUGUAAAACUCUUUCAAUCGGUUGAAGAUAAUGAACGGUAGCCGAAGAAGAAGUCCGGCUAAACUCCGUGCCAGCAGCCGCGGUAAUACGGAGGGACUAGCGUUGUUCGGAAGUUACUGGGCGUAAAGCGCGCGUA
rnacentral:rRNA from 1 species